GCAACCUACCCUUUACAGAAGGAUAGCUCGGGGAAACUCGAAUUAACCCUUCAUAAUAUGAUUGAAUGGCAUCAUUUGAUUAUUAAAUCUGAGGAGGUAAAGGAUGGGCAUGCGUCUGAUUAGCUAGUUGGUAGUGUAAUGGACUACCAAGGCGAUGAUCAGUAGGGGAACUGAGAGGUUGAUCCCCCACACUGGCACUGAGAUACGGGCCAGACUCCUACGGGAGGCAGCAGUAGGGAAUAUUGGUCAAUGGGUGAGAGCCUGAACCAGCCAUGCCGCGUGCAGGAAGACGGCCUUCUGGGUUGUAAACUGCUUUUGCCAGGGGAUAAAAUUUCCUUGCGAGGAAAAUUGAAGGUACCUGGUGAAUAAGCCACGGCUAACUACGUGCCAGCAGCCGCGGUAAUACGUAGGUGGCAAGCGUUGUCCGGAUUUAUUGGGUUUAAAGGGUGCGUAGGCGGCCUAUUAAGUCAGUGCUGAAAUAUCCCGGCUUAACCGGGAGGGUGGCAUUGAUACUGAUGGGCUAGAGUACAGAUGAGGUAGGCGGAAUUGACGGUGUAGCGGUGAAAUGCUUAGAUAUCGUCAAGAACACCUAUAGCGAAGGCAGCUUACUAGGCUGUAACUGACGCUGAGGCACGAAAGUGUGGGGAUCAAACAGGAUUAGAUACCCUGGUAGUCCACACUGUAAACGUUGAUUACUCGCUGUGUGCGAUAUACAGUACGCGGCCAAGCGAAAGCGCUAAGUAAUCCACCUGGGGAGUACGCCGGCAACGGUGAAACUCAAAGGAAUUGACGGGGGUCCGCACAAGCGGUGGAGCAUGUGGUUUAAUUCGAUG
rnacentral:rRNA from 1 species